rnacentral:lncRNA from 1 species
GAUGUUGCAACUGUGACAAACAAUUUUCACCCAUCAUAUAUGAUCGGACAAGGUGGUUUUGGCAACGUCCAAUGUCGCCGCUGUGGAGUUCACUGGAAGAAGAACAUCGGUCGAGCAUUCCAAUGUCGCCUCCGCCGAGUUCGCCACCGAGCCAUCCAAUGUCGCCUCUGCUGAGUUCACUGGAGGAAGAACAUCCGCCGUCCGAACGUGCUACACCAGAGGUAUGUAUCAGCUUUUCCCAAAUUAGUCCAACGUUGUGGUAUGUAUCAGCUUUUCCCAAAUUAGGCCAACGUUGUUGGAUAUUGCUUCAAUCAAAAACAAUCUGUGAAACCUGGGCAUGUACUAAUGUUUCCUGCACUUUUUCUCUUUAAUCUGAGCAUCCAAUCUAUGUAAGUCGGUUGUUGCCUGUGCAUUAUAUUACUCCAUUGUUUGCCAGUCCAUGUUUGCUCUCUGUUUGAUUCGAAUCCAUGACCAAAUAAGUUCAUGAACAGUUUUCUGCUUGAUCCCUGUUUGACUAAAGUCUUAAAGAUUCAUAUUUAGUUACAUUGGUUCAGUGAUUCAGAAUAAUAUUUGAGAAGCUUCUCUGUUGGUUGGCAUCCCUGAUGGCAGUUGUAGAAAUGUAGCUAAUAAGGAAAGAGUGCCUCAUAAUUCAUUGGAUGCAGAUCAAUAGGGUGUAAAAGACUUUGAGUUUCUAACUUUCCUAAAAUUUACACGUGUACUCCCUCCGUCCCAUAAUGUAAGACCAUUUUGCAAGCUUAACAGUAUGUUGUGGUUGGUCCAUAAACUUGAACAAUAAGUGUGUCAAUUGAGGUUCAGGCCAUAUUUAAUUAGCAACUAAUUAUCAUGUGGUGCUUCGGCCCUAAUAUAUCCACAGUCUGACCAUUGGAUUGAAUAUCCAUCAGAAGAUUGUAGCCUUUCCUGACUCCAUGCCCUUUUCAAGUGGAGUUGCAGAAAUGCAGAGUAUGAAUGGGGAAAUGAUCGUAGAUGUGAACACCUGCAGUAUGAUUUAUCUUGAUAGAGAUGCACUGGAUUCUCAAGUAGUUUUAAAAAAAUUUCUAGAUAGCUCAACUAAUUAAGCUUCUGCAAUUCAUGAAAAACAAAAAGGUGUCAUGUCAGCUGCUCAAGCUAAUCAAGUAAGAAAAAUAAAAGGGACCAGAUGUCAGGUUCCAUUAACCAAAUGUUUCACAUCUGUUAACCUGUAUCUUGAUUGAGAUGCACUGGGUUCACAAGUAGUUUUAGUGUUUUUUCUAGAUAGCUAACAAAAGGAAGGUGUUCUAUCAGCUGAUCAAGCUAAUUAAGUAAAAAGAAUUAAAGGGACCAGUAGUCAGGUUCCAUUAACUAAAUGUGUCACAUCUAUUAACCUGUACUCAUAGUAGCCCACAUUGUUCAAUAUUGCUUGGAGAUUUGCCCUUUUUUUACAAAUCAAAAUCAGUCUUUGUAACCUGGCGUUUACUAAAGUUGUAUGCACUUUUUUCUGUUUAAUCUGGGUGUCCAAUCUCUGUAAGUUGGGGCAUUGCUUGUAUUUUAUAUUAGGCGUUACCUAUAAUUUAUAUUAGUACAAUGUUUGUCAGUCUGUGUUUAAUUCUCUGUUUGCUCCCUAUGGACAAAUAAGUUAUUUUUCUCCCAGUUUGAUUCAAGUCUGAAAUAUGCAUAGAUGCUACACUUAAGUCAGUAAAUGAACAAAAAAGUAGGAAUGAUCUUUUAGUCAGUUUUGUGUCACCGAGUAAAUCUGUGCUCGAGAUUACAAUUACUUUGAUCAGAGAAAUUAAGAAAAAUAUCUGGAAUCAUCAUCACCCCUUAACCGAUCCGGCGGCAGGAUGUAGAAAUCCAAUCUACUUGGUGGAGACAUAUUGGCAUGUGAUACCGUCCAACUAAUAGUUGUUAUAUGCUUUCCAUUGUGUUUGAAUUUUUUUUCUCUUGCAUUGCCUGGACUACCUGAUAGAAGCUCAUGUCAGCUAAUAUUAUUACGUCUGGAGCGGCAGGCAUGUCCAUAUUCGGUGCUGCCAGCGACAAGCAAUACAGGAUAGGUUUUGUAAGUGCUAACAUGGUAAAUUAAUAGGGAUUAUCUAAUCUUUUUGUAUUAAGGAGUUCUAUACGUUUGCAUCAUGCAAAGAUUAUUGUACUAUUAAUUAGUCUAUACUGGAGAAGUCAAAGAGUAUCAUACUCACGGUCAGCUACGUAGUUGGAAUAUUUGUAACCACACACUAACCUGAAAGUUAGGCACACUAAUUAAGUUUGAUUUUUUUAACAGAAGGAUUUUAUUAAUAUGGCAUUAAGCACACUUUACAAAUAGCAGCUCGAGUGGCUGAGCACUCAUUGCUGAUAUCUCAUUACAGGUAGGACAUCGUUCCAGAUUAGUAUCUAAACCUUGAUUUGAAUGUAGGCAAGUAGAGCUGCCAGGUUUAUCUUGCACUUUGACAGCGAGUCUAGCCUGAUGGUGUGCCUUGAAAUUCAGACUCCUUUGCACUUUGAUUAUUCUGCAUGGAUGAAAUGAAGG